GACGAACGCUGGCGGCGUGCUUAACACAUGCAAGUCGAACGGUAAGGCCCUUCGGGUACGACGAGUGGCGAACGGGUGAGUAACACGUGGGUGAUCUGCCCUGCACUUCGGGAUAAGCCUGGGAAACUGGGUCUAAUACCGGAUAGGACCAUGGACUUCACGGUUUGUGGUGGAAAGCUUUUGCGGUGUGGGAUGGGCCCGCGGCCUAUCAGCUUGUUGGUGGGGUAAUGGCCUACCAAGGCGACGACGGGUAGCCGGCCUGAGAGGGUGUCCGGCCACACUGGGACUGAGAUACGGCCCAGACUCCUACGGGAGGCAGCAGUGGGAAUAUUGCACAAUGGGCGCAAGCCUGAUGCAGCGACGCCGCGUGAGGGAUGACGGCCUUCGGUGUAAACC
rnacentral:rRNA from 1 species